rnacentral:rRNA from 1 species
GACGAACGCUGGCGGCGUGCCUAAUACAUGCAAGUCGAACGCAGUGGGGACGGGGGAGGAACACGUGGGUAACCUCCCAUCAGAGGGGAUAACACUUGGAAACAGGUGCUAAACCGAUCCGGAUGGAUGGACCAGCGGUGCAUUAGCUAGGUGGGUAGGUAACGGCUCACCAAGGCUACGAUGCAUAACCGGCCUGAUGGGGUGAUCGGCCACACUGGGACUGGUCCCCGGCCCAGACUCCUACGGGAGGCAGCAGUAGGGAAUCUUCGGCAAUGGACGAAAGUCUGACCGAGCAACGCCGCGUGGGUGAAGAAGGUUUUCGGGUCGUAAAACUCUGUUGUUAGAGAAGCGGUAUCUAACCAGAAAGCCACGGCUAACUACGUGCCAGCAGCCGCGGUAAUUC